rnacentral:rRNA from 1 species
CAGCGCUUAAUUGCGCGGCGAAAAAACCUUACACACAGUGUUUUUUGUUAUUACAAGAACUUUUGCUUUGGUCUGGACUAGAAAUAGUUUGGGCCAGAGGUUUACUGAACUAAACUUCAAUAUUUAUAUUGAAUUGUUAUUUAUUUAAUUGUCAAUUUGUUGAUUAAAUUCAAAAAAUCUUCAAAACUUUCAACAACGGAUCUCUUGGUUCUCGCAUCGAUGAAGAACGCAGCGAAAUGCGAUAAGUAAUAUGAAUUGCAGAUUUUCGUGAAUCAUCGAAUCUUUGAACGCACAUUGCGCCCUCUGGUAUUCCAGAGGGCAUGCCUGUUUGAGCGUCAUUUCUCUCUCAAACCUUCGGGUUUGGUAUUGAGUGAUACUCUUAGUCGAACUAGGCGUUUGCUUGAAAUGUAUUGGCAUGAGUGGUACUGGAUAGUGCUAUAUGACUUUCAAUGUAUUAGGUUUAUCCAACUCGUUGAAUAGUUUAAUGGUAUAUUUCUCGGUAUUCUAGGCUCGGCCUUACAAUAUAACAAACAAGUUUGACCUCAAAUCAGGUAGGAUUACCCGCUGAACUUAAGCAUAUCAAUAGCCGGA